UACGUAGGGUGCGAGCGUUGUCCGGAAUUAUUGGGCGUAAAGAGCUCGUAGGCGGUUUGUUGCGUCGGCUGUGAAAACCUGAGGCUCAACCUCAGGCCUGCAGUCGAUACGAGCAGACUAGAGUGUUGCAGGGGAGACUGGAAUUCCUGGUGUAGCGGUGAAAUGCGCAGAUAUCAGGAGGAACACCGGCGGCGAAGGCGGGUCUCUGGGCCAUAACUGACGCUGGAGGAGCGAAAGCGUGGGGAGCGAACGGAUAGAA
rnacentral:rRNA from 1 species